AUGACCACGAGAAGACCGCUCGAGCUACUUCAUAUGGAUCUCUUUGGUCCCAAUGCCUACAAAAGUCUUGGUGGAAACUCAUUUGGUCUAGUUAUAGUCAAUGAUUUUUCAAGAUCGUGGGUGUUCUUUCUCGAUGAUAAAUCGCAGGUCCAAAAGAUCUUCAAGAACUUCGCUUGGAAGGCCCAAAAUCAAUUUGAAGUGAAGAUCAAGAAGGUUCGCAGUGACAACAGAACGGAGUUCCAGAACGACAAUGUGGACACCUUUCUUGACGAAGAAGGGAUCUCACAUGUGUUCUCGGCUACAUACACACCUCAACAAAAUGGAGUUGUUGAGAGGAAGAACCGGACGCUCAUCUAA
rnacentral:rRNA from 1 species